CAUGGGUUUUCGGUGGUAUUGAGCGUGGCUCUGGGCGUUGCUUCUUGGUGGAAGUUCCUGACAGAACUGCAGAAACCUUAUCUGCUAUAAUUCAAAGGUUGGUUGGAGAGGCGUAUUUAGGAAAGUAGAAGCAUGUAUUUGAUGGAUGCUAGAAUUUCGAAUUGAGUUAUUUUUUUUUGUUUAUAAGUAUAAAAAUAUAACUUUAUUUAAUGGAAUAGGUACAUCUUACCAGGAACAAUAAUUAUGUCCGAUGGGUGGAGGGCAUAUGAAAAUAUCAAUCAAAUUGGCGGAGGAAUAUAUCACCAUGAAGUGAUUAUUCACGAACAUAAUUUUGUGAACCCUGAAAAUCGUGUAAUUCACACGCAGAACGUGGAAAAUAUGUGGAUGAGGGCGAAAAGGAAACUCCGUCGCCAAUUUGGUACCUCACAAACCUUAUUUCCAUCGUACCUCCACGAGUUUAUUUGGAGGAACAAAUUUAAAAAUUAUAACUUGUUUAUGAGUACAAUAAUGUGUAUUAGGGAGCAAUAUCCUUUAGAAUAAUUUUAUUUUUAUUUUAAUUGAUUUUGUUUUUUUAUUAUAAAGUAUAUAAAUAUAUUUUUUUGUUAUA